AUCUACAAAGUCAAUGACUAGAAUAAGUGAAAAAUUUCAGUAUUGUGAUAUUAAAUAACACAGAAAUCAAACAUAUAUAUAUAUGCAUUGGCAGUAAACAAUCAAAAUCAUUAGAAAAAGUUUUGAAUCAGGUCUAGUGACAAAUGCCUUUAAUUUCAGAAUAAAGGACAUAGGUGGAUCUGUUUGAGUUUGAGAAUAGGCUAGCUAUAGUUACACAGUGAGACCCUGUUUCAAAGCAAACAAACACACUUUUAUGUGAAUAAUGAUAUUAGACAAUAAACUACUAAAUUUAACUAGAGCGUGUCCAAGACAUCUACAUGGAAAGCACUGUGCAUAGACUUUUAGAAACCCUACGGAAAUCAGAAUGCACCAUGUCUGUGAAACAUAAAGUCAACUGUUAACUUAUUGGUUCUUCCCGAAUUUACUUAUUCCUCAAAGGAACUGACAUGGGAUUUCUCAAUUCAUAUAAAAAGUAGAGCAGGAGCAAUGCAGGGUUGACAAAACUAAAAGACCUGACGGUCUUUCUACAACUAGGACUAAGCCCGGGAAUAAAUACCCUGAAAAGAGUGACCUUUGACCUCUCAUCCCACACAACAGUUAAUUUGAGAUGAGUUAUGACUGGAAAUCUAAAGUAAGAUCAUAACACUCCAUACAAAAUAAAUAGCAAUAUUUUAAAGUGACUUUGGAGUUUUGAGAAUCUUGAGAUGGCAUAUACAGCUCUCAGCUCAUAAGAAAAAUAACAAAUUGAGCUGCAUCAAAAUAAAAGGGCCGUUCAUCAGGAGUCAUUGCUGAAAAUGGGCCAGCUAUGGGUGAAUGCCUGUAACCCUAACACUCACAGGAGGCUGUGGAAGGAGGCUCAUCAGGAAUGCCAGGCCUGCAGAAGCUACAUAAUGUGUUCCAUGUCAGCCCAAGCAACGGAGUGAGUGAGACACUGUCUCAGAACACACAAAAUACACAAAUAGAUGCCCAAGUGUAAGAGCAGGCUGGGGCAAUGAGUCAGUGCAUUCGUUUGGUAAGACUUUCAAUCUAGAAGAGAUAAAUAACAGCUACAGAAACAACAAAGCUAGGAGGCUCACAGCUCCCUUUCUCACAGCAGACACCCUGACCAGCCCCUCACCCUCUGCUGUCAUUCCUUCCCUGUCACCUGCACCCUCUGACUCUGAGGCAAAACCAACCUUUCAUGCCUUAAAAACAAAUGGAUAAAAGUAAACAUGCAAUUUUUAAAAGGGGAGAAGACAAACAGUUUAUAGAAGAAGAUAUAGCCAAUGAAGGCAGGAAAAGCUAUUCUGCAUAAUUAAUUACAAGAAAAGUACAAAUUAAAACCACAAUGGGAUCCCAUUUCACAUUUGUUACAAUGGCAUAGAAAUGAAGUGUUGGCAAGCUUGGGGCCAACUAGCAGAAAUGGGAAACAGUAAAUAAUUUCCUGGCAGUUUAUCCUAUAAUACAGCAGUUUCACUCCAAGUGCCUCUCUAAAAUAAAUGAAAAUUUCUGUCUAAAAAUAGAUGGAUAUAAGAAUAUCAUAGAAGUCCUAGUAAUAAUAGACAAAACUUGAAAUAGUUGGAAAAUGGAUAAAGUAUGCAUACUACAAGAUACUCCCCAAAGAAAAAUGCUUUAAAAUCUACUUAAUUAAAAAUAAAAGCAAUAAAAUUUUAAAAUGAAAAGCCAACCAACUUACAAAACGACUUUUUCUGAACAUUUUCCUCAGGAGCCCUGAGGAAUGUGUGGUGUUCUCAGGUCAUGAUUAAUUCAAAGAUGUUGUUGGUCAAAAAGAAAGAAAGAAAGAAAGAAAGAAAGAAAGAAAGAAAGAAAGAAAGAAAGAAAGAAAGAGAGAGAGGGGGGGGAGGGGACGGGAGGGGAGGGGAGGGGGGAGGGGAGGGGAGAGAAGGGGAGGGAAGGGGAGGGGAUGAGGGGAGGGCAGGAGAGGAGAGAAGGGGAGGAGAGGGGAGGGGAGGGGAGGGGAAGGGAGGGGAGGGGAGGGGAGGGGAGGAGAGGAGAGAAACAAAACAAAAAUCAGGAAGGGAGAAAAUUAGGAAGGGAGAAAAAGCUGUCAUUGGUUGCUUUUGAGUAACUGGGCAGCACCUGCAGUAGGUGGCUCCAGAGGACAGUGCACACUCACAGCAUUUCAGACUGCUUUGCCAUCACUAAAAUGAUUGUUCCUCUCUAUGGGGCUUUACAAUUACCUGAUGCAUGUGCUAGUCUCUUAUGUAGUUAGUAGGGAUAAUAAAAACAAGCACACUCGAAGUAAAAAUGUAAAUGAGAAAUUCUGGGAGGGGCAUGAGAAAGGAAUUCUGGGAGGGACAUGGACUAUCAGGAAAGAGGAGUUAUAAAUCACAUUCAAUUUAUUCACCGUGCUCAUCUCACCAAAUCCAAAUGGCUGUCUUAGAGAUUCAGCUCACUAUUGUUGGUGGUUUUAGCUUUGUCCAAUCAGGAGAGCCCUUUGGUAGCUUCUGUUCCUGCUUAUGGUCAGAAUGUUAACUUACUUUCAUUACAAGAAUGCUGAUUAAAGUUAAAUUUUGAUUUCUUCUUGUUUAAAACAAAGAAAGAAAGUAAAAGGGGGGGAAGGAGCUGGCUGUCCUCAUGAUUAACUUAGUAGAAAACCCAUUCUGUGCCGGAGAAAGCCUCCAUCAUCAGCGAAGCAACAUGCUCCUCAUGUCUGAGACAUAGACGGCCAGGCCAGCAGGGCAUGGCUUAUCCCUGCCUCCUUUAUAAACCAUCAGCUAGAUGUGUUCGUCUGUUUACUUUGGCAGUGUUGGAAACCGACCCGCCUUGCACAGACUAGGCAACGUGCUUCACUGCUGAGCUCAAGGGCAGGCCCUAGCUGGGCAGAUGAGCAACACUGGGGAACUGACUUGAGGAAGGCACAUGUGGUGGAUAUAUGACUGGCUCUUCUGAGCUAAAGAUUGGUAAAUAACUAAGAACCAACAGUGCAAAUGAGAAGGAUGGGGUGCCUGUGUCAUCUGCCUAAGUUUCAUAUACCUGUUUUCAUCCCAGGAUUCUAUAAGUCCACUAUAACAAAUACCCUGCAUUUCCUUCAUCUAUAGACUCUGUCUAAACCAAAGAGACAGUAGAUAAAUCAUAAUGGUAGGUGGGUAGUCAUAUGUAGCAUACAAACAAAUAAACAUUUCACUGAAUACUCUGGAAACAGUUAAUUAAUUGCCAUUCCAAAAUGAUCCUUUGGGAAGCAACUUAGCUUUUUAAUAGACUAAGCCAGAGGUCAUGUUUCAGGAAGCACACCAGAUGUGCUAUGUAAUUGUACUCCAAACAAUAUCUACAAAGUGCUUUAACUAAAUACAUGAUCUCAGUUCUCCUCACAAUACCCUGAAAUGGGUAUGAGGGUAGACAGCCUUUAGACCAAGGCUUCCAGAUUCUGUGAACACUCUCUGUGCUAACCAGUCUCUAUCAUACUAUCAGGGAGCAGAGCCACACCUAGGCCUUGUGUCUGCCAACUCUCAGCCUAGCACAAUUUCCCUAGGCCAAAGUUCCUAAGUCACCAUGGGAGAUUUGAGAAAAUGGAAUUUCAGAGCCACCAUUCUCUAACUGGAAUGUAAGUUUCUCCCUAUAAGGAUGCUCUUCCUUGCCCAGCUUAGCACAUCCUAGAAGUCUGUUGCAUGCUAUGAAGUUCAUGCCCUUUACUGUGGUCUGAAAUGCUGCCCACCUUGGCACCCCCACACUGAAGAUGCAAGCACACUUGCAGAAAGCAUCGAGAACUGAAAUGACAGCAGGGAUUAGAAGUGUUACACCAAGGCAUCUCCUGAUUUCAGGGUUAUGAGAGCAUUACUGUAGACAGCACUGUUCUGUUUUUCUAUUAGAAACUGUCUUCUUUGGAAAAGAUUAACAAGAAGAACCAAAAGGGAACUCCCUAAGGUCAGCUCUGAGGAAACAUAGACUCUAAUUCAAUAACUCUGCUACUGCCCUGGAAAAGGCUUUAGUACUGCAACAUCCAUAUGGAGCCAAUUGGACAUUAAUGGCUAAUCAAUCCCUCUGCUUUCUAUUCUACUUAAAGUGUCACAAACCAUGUUUAGAUUAGCCCAUUUCCUGCUAAGGAUUGCUCAAGAUGUCUUUUGUUCUUUUAGGCCCCGCCUGACGGAGGCAGCUUUAAACAAACACAGAGCAGAGUGGUGUAGGAGUUAUAACGUGCCACAAGUGAGGACAAAGGGGCCACACUAAAGCCCUUUGUGGUAUUUGUUAAUGUUUCUCAUCUGAGUUUGAAAAGGCUUAAUGACUUUGUGGUGAGCUGGUGCAUGUGGCCCAUGGCUUUACAAAAUGAAGGGAGUUCUCACCAGAGGCCCUGCAGUCUCCUGCUCUCGGUUUUGGUUUAAUUUUUUUUUUUAAUUCUCAUUAUAUUUACUUUGUACAGAUAGCUGAACAGAGUCCUUCAGCUUGUUUCAGCUACAGAUUCCCGCAGCAGCUGGGAUGGCUUCUGAGUUCCUGUAUUUUAAUGAUCUGAAAGUGGCACAAAGCACGGAGUAUUCCACUUAAUCUGUAUGUGAGAUGUAGCUCGGGAGGGCUCAUGUGCCGGUGUGGCCAGGUGAAAAGCAACGUUUAAGUCUGCACUGGAGACCUCUGGGGAUGAAAUAAGACAAUAACAGGUUUUGUCUUCUGAGGAUGUCAGGGGAACCAGCCUGGUACGAGCAGAGGCCCAUGGAGGACACAGAGGCUGCUGAAAGCUGGUAGACUAAAUAAUUCACGCGCGCAGCAGCUCCUGGCUUCACCUAGCCCUUGUUCCUACCACAGACUCUAUAUGAAAUGAAGCAUAAACCAAGGCAAAGAAACACUUACAAACAAGACAUUACUUGCUGAUUGUCUCAGCCCCUCCAGGUCCCUGCCAGAGCACUUUAAAAUCUAGCCUUCUGAUUCAGAUUUACUUUCCAGGUUUGAAUGCUUUAACCUGCACAGAAAUUCCACUCUCUCAUUUCAGGCGGAGUGGAGCAUCACACAUUCACUCUGUCCAGGCCACUUCUCUAUCCAAGCCCCUCCAAUGUCCUGCCCUGUCCCUGUGCCUAUAGAUGAAUCUCAACCUCCAGAGCAGCAGGCUAGCUUCUCUGUACAGCUCCAGCGCUGUCUCUUGUUGCCCUACUGGAAGCAUUGGUUUUUUUGAACACUGCACUACCUGGUUCCUACACACUGUUUUCAUGCUACAAAUCCCAGUUCUCUACUUUCCUACAAAGGCAUCUCCAUCUUGCAAUCACUCCUUGAACACAGAUUAAAGGACUGUUACUCUUUUGGAAGACUGGCAGAACUCUGGGUUCCAGUAGGAGGUAUCCUGUGUCUUACGCCUACCUCUAACCUGACGUUCAACCUCAUUUGUUCACAUCACCAAUUCCAUGUGCCCACUUACUCCAAAUGCAGUGAGUGCAUGGUGUCCUAGCCAUAGCUCACCCCAGGGUCCAGCAAAACCAGCUAUGCCAGAAAUGCUGAAACACAGAGGGCACAGUGGAGAACAGAGCUAUCUUUCACAGGAGGGAUUUUAGAGACAAGUCUGUGUGUUUCCCUGGCAUCUGAGCGUUUCUGCAGUUAGACUCUAACAGGAUUUGCAAUCAGCGCAGUCUUGAACAGAUGCCAGGAACGAAGCUGGAGUCAGCAGAAGGCUGCUGCCCAUCUCAGAAGUCCUCACAAAGGCACUGCACUGCUGUCCAUAUUAGUUCAGGCUGGUGUCCACUGUGGGCCAGCGGGCCCUGGAUACUGCACAUCCAUCUCACCUGCAAGCAAAGUUUAACAGAAGGGCUGCUACUCUCUUUCAAAGAAAGAUCUUGUGUAUUUUACUGCAGCCUUCUCCCAGGAGGAAAGAAGCACCAUAAAGCUAAAGGAUAUCACAAAUGGGUUUGUAAUGAAAAUCACAAAUAACUUUGAAUUACAUCUGAUUAGAAAAGGAGCUU